rnacentral:misc_RNA from 1 species
GAAAUGCGAUACUUGGUGUGAAUUGCAGAAUCCCGUGAACCAUCGAGUCUUUGAACGCAAGUUGCGCCCGAAGCCAUUAGGCCGAGGGCACGCCUGCCUGGGCGUCACACGCCGUUGCCCCCCCGCGUCUCCCUCGGGAGCGUCGGGGGGCGGACGAUGGCCUCCCGUGCGUCACCCCGCGCGGUUGGCACAAAUGUCGAGUCCUCGGCGACGAACGCCACGACAAUCGGUGGUUGUCAAACCUCGGUUGCCUGUUGUGCGCUUUCGCCGCGCUACGAGCGGUUCGCGACGCUCGCUGCUCCUGCUUCGGCGGAGCUUUCAACGCGACCCCAGGUCAGGCGGGGUUACCCGCUGAAUUUAA